GCAGGCGAAUAGCAGGCGAAUAGCAGGCGAAUAGCAGGCGAAUAGCAGGUCGAAUAGCAGGCGAAUAGCAGGCGAAUAGCAGGCGAAUAGCAGGUCGAAUAGCAGGCGAAUAGCAGGCGAAUAGCAGGCGAAUAGCAGGUCGAAUAGCAGGCGAAUAGCAGGCGAAUAGCAGGCGAAUAGCAGGUCGAAUAGCAGGCGAAUAGCAGGCGAAUAGCAGGCGAAUAGCAGGCGAAUAGCAGGCGAAUAGCAGGUCGAAUAGCAGGCGAAUAGCAGGCGAAUAGCAGGCGAAUAGCAGGUCGAAUAGCAGGCGAAUAGCAGGUCGAAUAGCGGGCGAAUAGCGGGCGAAU